GACGAACGCUGGCGGCGUGCUUAACACAUGCAAGGCGAGCGAACAAAGCUCCUUCGGGAGUGGAGUUAGCGGCGGACGGGUGAGUAACACGUGGGUAACCUGCCUUAUAGAGGGGGAUAGCCUUCCGAAAGGAAGAUUAAUACCGCAUAAGAAGUAGAAGUCGCAUGGCUUUAGCUUUAAAGGAGCAAUCCGCUAUAAGAUGGACCCGCGGCGCAUUAGCUAGUUGGUGAGGUAACGGCUCACAAGGCGACGAUUCGUAGCCGACCUGAGAGGGGGAUCGGCCACAUUGGGACUGAGACACGGCCCAGACUCCUGCGGGAGACAGCAGUGGGGAAUAUUGCACGAUGGGGGAAACCCUGAUGCAGCAACGCCGCGUGAGUGAUGACGGCCUUCGGGUUGUAAAGCUCUGUCUUCAGGGACGAUAAUGACGGUACCUGAGGAGGAAGCCACGGCUAACUACGUGCCAGCAGCCGCAGUAACAC
rnacentral:rRNA from 1 species